rnacentral:rRNA from 1 species
UCCUACGGGAGGCAGCAGUGGGGAAUAUUGCACAAUGGGCGCAAGCCUGAUGCAGCCAUGCCGCGUGUAUGAAGAAGGCCUUCGGGUUGUAAAGUACUUUCAGCGAGGAGGAAGGCAKUAAGGUUAAUAMCYUURGUSAUUGACGUUACUCGCAGAAGAAGCACCGGCUAACUCCGUGCCAGCAGCCGCGGUAAUACGGAGGGUGCAAGCGUUAAUCGGAAUUACUGGGCGUAAAGCGCACGCAGGCGGUYUGUYAAGUCRGAUGUGAAAUCCCCGGGCUCAACCUGGGAACUGCAUUYGAWACUGGCARGCUWGAGUCUUGUAGAGGGGGGUAGAAUUCCAGGUGUAGCGGUGAAAUGCGUAGAGAUCUGGAGGAAU